AAUGCCCCUCGAGGCGUUGCAGCCCAACUGUGAGUGUUGCGGCUGUGUCAUGAGGCGGCAGAGAGCGAGCGGUGGUCGGUCUGCACCGGGACUCCACGCCUUCGAGGACCGGGGUGAUUCCAACCACCGAUAAA